GACGAACGCUGGCGGCGUGCUUAACACAUGCAAGUCGAGCGACGCUCUUCCUUCGGGGAGAUGACGGAGCGGCGAACGGGUGAGUAACACGUGGGCAACCUGCCCCUAGCUCUGGGACAACACCGGGAAACCGGUGCUAAUACCGGAUACGACAUCGAGCGGCAUCUCUCGAUGUGGAAAGUUUUUUCGGCUAGGGAUGGGCCCGCGGCUUAUCAGCUUGUUGGUGGGGUAAUGGCCCACCAAGGCGACGACGGGUAGCCGGCCUGAGAGGGCGACCGGCCACACUGGGACUGAGACACGGCCCAGACUCCUACGGGAGGCAGCAGUGGGGAAUAUUGCGCAAUGGGCGAAAGCCUGACGCAGCGACGCCGCGUGAGGGAUGACGGCCUUCGGGUUGUAAACCUCUUUCAGCAGGGACGAAUUCAGACGGUACCUGCAGAAGAAGCACCGGCCAACUACGUG
rnacentral:rRNA from 1 species